AGUAGUGGCUUAUAUAGCCUACCGACAUAACCGGACUGUUAUUUCCACUGCGGUACGGAUCAUUCAGAGUCGUUGGCCUCUGUUGUGUUUAUGAUAUGCUAUUUUAGUGUCACUAAAAUAUAUUCUGAAAGAGUUGAAAACUAAUUAUUGUUUGAGUGGGUCCUUUACUGUCGUGUGUAGAAUUAAUGCUUUGGUCGAAUAGGAAGUUGAGAAAAUAAUUGAGGGAAGAGGAGAACGAAAAAACGAGAAAAGAAAUUAGCGAAAAUCCCACAAACAAGGCACAUAAUAAAAUAUGCAAACAACUUAACAAUAAUUAUCGGCAUGUGAACGUGAUCCAGAAAUUACUGGGUCAAAAGCACCGUCGUACCGCCUUCUCCGCGUAAGGCCCAUAUAUCACUUUUUAAUGUUUAUGUAUUUAAUUGUGGAAUUAAAGAACCACAUCUUCCUUUAUCUAUGUAU